GAUUUAAGUCUGCACAUUUCUCACAUGUUCGUUUGUCGUUCGGUUAUGUCAUUUAAAUCUUAUACACUCGUGAAAAUUGUUGGAUUCGCACGGACUUUUGUACAUUGAAAAAUCGAAUAUGGAUUUCCAUAUAGCAGAUUAUUUCAUAGAUGCAACCAAGAAAUGAGUAAUUAUUUUACCCAGUAAUUAGAUGAACGAGGAGAGAACCCAGUGUUGGAUCCCACAAGUUAAAGGGACUGAGUUAAAAAGGUUGUGCAAGGCCAAAUAUCAGCCUCAGCGAGACUGGACAUGUUUUUAUAUGCUACUAAGAAAAUCAUACUGCACCUAUAAUGAUGUGUUGCGGAUCACGACCCGCCACCUGACGGACAAUUAACUAGGUCGGGCCGACUAGUUCGCAAGCCCACUAUUUUUGAUUUAUAGUAUGUGUAAGGCCGCCAGGGGUGCUGUGUUCAGCGUCUUCUUGGUGGCCGAUCUCGGUUAAUGUUCUUUCUUCGCAAUUGUUCAACAAGGUAGAGCAGACGCUAUUAUAAGUUGUGUCAGAGUCUGAAUAAAAGUUAGAGAAUCAGCAACAAUUUACCUGAGUCAAGUGUCUUCAAAUCAGUAAUUACUUAUCAGGUAUUAUCAGUAAGAGUAAUUAUUGUCAAUGGUCCUUCGAAACUAACUAGUUUUUAAACAGAAUUCUGUGCAACUCGAUUAAGUAACACUGCUAAUAGGUCAAGUCACGCUACAGUCGUGUCAAAGAAAGAGUGUUGAGCACUUUACGUAAGCAUUAGUUUUAAUAUACUUGAUAAUUUACACUUAUUUAAGUAUUGUCGUCCUAACUAUCACUCCCUUUUUGAAAGAAGUUAGUCUAAAAGCUGAAUUCAGCCACUCCAGGGAUGUACCCGAGAAGAACUCCAAUUAGUCAGGAAACAUCUCAGCGUAUCACUGUAAUCUAAGUUACAAGAUAGUUCUAAGUUAGUGUGUUAAGUCAAGAUACCUAAACUUCCUGAGAGGAUUACCGACUCGUGAGCCAACGCCAAGAGAACAAAUUCAUCCAGAGAUUCCCUUGCCAGCUGUGCUCCAGCACCCAACACCACGUGCACCAGACUACGGAAGCACUCCGAUUGCAAGGUUUUACGGGUACCAAGGACCUAGAAGCCAUCCGAGGUCGCGUGGUCAAUCUACCGUUGCAGAGCAGUCAACAUCUGUAGCAACCAGGAACGUGGUCGUUCGCAGCCUUCUCGAAAACGAAAGAAGAAGACAGGCUGAGGUUAUUGAACAAGAAUUCGGUGCAGAAGGUACAGAAGACAUCACUGAAGUGGAGACGAAUUUCUCGAUCAGAACAAACGAUUCUGAGACUAUCAUUCAAGAAGAAAGUGAAGUAGAGGAGACAGUGAAAGGAGAAAGUGAAGGAAGCGGUUCGACCACAUCUGAGGAAUUCAUCUUGUCCAUCAACG